rnacentral:rRNA from 1 species
AUUGAACGCUGCGGCAUGCCUUACACAUGCAAGUCGAACGGCAGCACGGAGCUUGCUCUGGUGGCGAGUGGCGAACGGGUGAGUAAUAUAUCGGAACGUACCCUAGAGUGGGGGAUAACGUAGCGAAAGUUACGCUAAUACCGCAUACGAUCUAAGGAUGAAAGUGGGGGAUCGCAAGACCUCAUGCUCGUGGAGCGGUCGAUAUCUGAUUAGCUAGUUGGUAGGGUAAAAGCCUACCAAGGCAUCGAUCAGUAGCUGGUCUGAGAGGACGACCAGCCACACUGGAACUGAGACACGGUCCAGACUCCUACGGGAGGCAGCAGUGGGGAAUUUUGGACAAUGGGCGAAAGCCUGAUCCAGCAAUGCCGCGUGAGUGAAGAAGGCCUUCGGGUUGUAAAGCUCUUUUGUCAGGGAAGAAACGGUGAGAGCUAAUAUAUCUUGCUAAUGACGGUACGAAGAAUAAGCACCGGCUA